GGCCUCGUGGCGAAAUGGCAUCGCGUUAGAUUUCGGUGAAAUAAACUUGCCCUCUAAAGAUUGUCGGUUCGAAUCCGGCCGAGGUCG